CUCAGGUUGCUGACCUCUGAGAAAAAGGGGGUGUAGCCUAGAAGAUGAGAGUGUUGUGUCUUCUGUACUUGGUGACAGCCCUUCCUGGGAUCCUGUCCCAGGUGCAGCUUCAGGAGUCAGGACCUGAACUGGUGAAGCCAACACAAUCACUCCUCCUCACCUGCUCUGUCACUGGGUACUCCAUCACCACCAGUGGCUCCUACUGGCACUGGAUCCGCAAGUUCCCAGGGAAUAAGCUGGAGUGGUUGGGGUGCAUAGAUUACAGUGGUGACCCUACCUACAACCCAUCUCUCAAGAUCCUCAUCUCCAUCACUACAGACACAUCCAAGAACCAGUUCUUCCUGCAGCUGAGCUCUGUGACCACUGAGGACACAGCCACAUAUUACUGUACAGGAGACACAGUGAAGGAACCUCACUGUGAACCCAGACACAAACCUUCCCUCAGAGGAGCUCUGGACCAGCAGGGGGCAUUCAGCUAUAGACCAGCAGGGGGCAUUCAGCACUUAUAUCACACACAGGAUCUCGACUUCAGAGAAUUUGAAACAAAACCACAGAAACCACCCUGGCCCACAACUCUUGGAGAAGACUCCAGCUCUGCAGGAGGCCACACUGCAGUAGAAAGCCCAGUAAAACAAUGCCCACACCUCACCAACAUUCCUUAA